rnacentral:tRNA from 1 species
UCUCUGUUAGUAUAUCGGUUAGUACACGCGCCUGUCAUUUAACUGGUCGCGCGAAAGCGGGGUUCGACUCCCCGACAGAGAG